CAGUAGCCACGGUAAUACGAAGGGAGCUAGCGUUAUCCGGAAUUAUUGGGCAUAAAGGGCAUCUAGGCGGACGGAUAAGUCUGGGGUGAAAACUUGCGGCUCAACCGCAAGCCUGCCCUGGAAACUAUGCGGCUAGAGUACUGGAGAGGUGGACGGAACUGCACGAGUAGAGGUGAAAUUCGUAGAUAUGUGCAGGAAUGCCGAUGAUGAAGAUAGUUCACUGGACGGUAACUGACGCUGAAGUGCGAAAGCUAGGGGAGCAAACAGGAUUAGAUACCCGAGUAGUCCCUGUCUCUUAUAU
rnacentral:rRNA from 1 species